AUUGCCGAGCCACAAUCAACAGAUCCUCCAAACUUUCUCUCCACUCAGGGUAAGAGUCCGUGGUCUUUUCAAGUAUGCCCACCAAAUCUCCGGCAAAUAUGCCUAAAUCAGAAUCAACUUCUUCCUUUAACUUGUCGAAUUUUGCCCUGAUUGCCACCAUAACUUCCUCCAUAUGACCGAAUGCCCGAGACCUCCAAACAGGAAAAGGCCGGACUCCUUUGGAAUUGAGCUCGUGAGAGAAGCUCUUGACAUCUGGGGCCUUCUUCUUCCGACCACUCGUUACACGCAGUAUUGCCUGGAAACGUGGAGAUUGCAAUUCCUUGGCAAAAGUUGCAUGGUUACUCUCCAACGGUGGAUUGACUGAUGAUGGAUAUUUCAAUGAUUUGGACUGAUUCCAUCCAAACUUUUUCCCUGGGUCCAUGGACGACGCACUAUGAAUAGGAAUGGCCCAUUUAAGCCUUGUCGUCUCGACAGCACCGUCUUUAUGAUCCUCCUCAUUUACAGCAUCGGUAUUAUUAUUGCCGAGAUUGGAAG
rnacentral:misc_RNA from 1 species